ensembl:lncRNA
GUAUGUGAUUGGAGGACCCUUAGACUCCUCGUCCAAUCACGUGUGAGGGCAUAGGCAUGACUGAUACAGCAGUACUUGGAAGACGAGCAUACGAACAAACACGUGUUACUAUAUUCAGAAGAACUGUAUCUCCAGUUCCUUUGUUUGGUUUUUGCUGGUUCGUGAAUAAUGGCGGGACGACGUCUCGCGUUCAACUCGCCUUCAACUCCUCUCCGCGGUCACCAACUUUCGGCCAGUCCGCGGACAGACGAGAAGAAGCUGCUGAAAGCUCUCAGUGGAUCGUCUCGUCAACUCCAACAACAAACUGCCGAUAUCAACGAGCGGUUCGCUCCACUGGAGCGUUCGGGACUCUGCGGGUUUCUGUCCAUGGAGGAGAGGAACCGACUCAAAGAAGAGGAGACGGGCGCACAAUCCCACGAUAGCGGAAGCGGUGCGCCGUCUUCUCAACUCCGAGACAAAUUACAGGCGCUACGGACCGGAGCAAGGACUAAUCUCGCCUCAUAAAGAGGCGGUGACCUCGUAUUUCCUCCGGGAAAAGUCCAGAUUUUAACGACGUCAUUGUGUCCGCCUGUGAGACGUAUUGUGAGACGGGACGCAGGAGCUUCAGGUUUUCCAGCCGGAACACUCAAUGCGGAGUUCAGCGCGGAGUCAAGCGAGAAGAAAGAGGCUGCUGGAAUCGAGACAAAGUGUGCUGACUGAUGACGAGGUGGAACUCUGGAACUCCGCCACCGUAGAGCUCACGUCGGACGGAGGGGACGGCGUUGUUGGCGGGGUCUCGGGGUGGAUUGUACGGUCGCCACAGGCACACGAGCCGCCUGCACAAGAGACCUGCCUCGGAAAACACAGCGCCAGUGACGGUCUACAACCCCGAGGAGGCAAACGGACAGUUUACUGAGCUGUAGUUUUUAAACCGCCGUUACCCAAGUGUGGGCAGAUCCUCACUUUGUAUGUAGUCAUUGUUUGUGUGUUGUUAAUAAAGCUCUUUCUUUGCAUAAA